UGGCUGAGUGGUAAAGCGCUUGGCUUCCGAACCGAGGGGUCCCAAGUUCAAAUCCUGG
rnacentral:tRNA from 1 species